rnacentral:rRNA from 1 species
GACGAACGCUGGCGGCGUGCCUAAUACAUGCAAGUAGAACGCUGAAGGAGGAGCUUGCUCUUCUGGAUGAGUUGCGAACGGGUGAGUAACGCGUAGGUAACCUGCCUGGUAGCGGGGGAUAACUAUUGGAAACGAUAGCUAAUACCGCAUAACAGUAGAUGUUGCAUGACAUUUACUUAAAAGGUGCAAUUGCAUCACUACCAGAUGGACCUGCGUUGUAUUGGCUAGUUGGUGGGGUAACGGCUCACCAAGGCGACGGUACAUAGCCGACCUGGGCGGGGGGUCGGCCCCACUGGGAGUGGAGCGUGGACCAGGGGGCUGAGGGACGCAGCAGUAGGGUAUCUGCGGCAGUGGUCGGGAGUAUGGCCGAUCAGGGCCGAGUGAGAGGAGGAGAUGUUGGGUGCGUAAUGCCCUGUUUUAAGGUAUGAACGAAUGUGGGGACGGAAAAUUCACACUGUGACGGUAUCUUAACAGAAAGGACCGGCUAACUACGUG